rnacentral:tRNA from 2 species
UAAACCGGGUGCGUAGCUCAGCGGUAGAGCAUCGCCUUCACACGGCGGGGGUCACAGGUUCAAUCCCUGUCGCAC